AUUGAUUUGGCAGAUUUAAGUGCGUUAAGUUUAGAACUUAUUUAUGUUAUUUUUAACAAUUAAUA
rnacentral:tRNA from 1 species